GGGGGAUAUUGCGCAAUGGGGGAAACCCUGACGCAGCAACGCCGCGUGAAGGAUGAAGGUCUUCGGAUUGUAAACUUCUUUUAUUAAGGACGAAGAAAGUGACGGUACUUAAUGAAUAAGCUCCGGCUAACUACGUGCCAGCAGCCGCGGUAAAACGUAGGUCACAAGCGUUGUCCGGAUUUACUGGGUGUAAAGGGUGCGUAGGCGGCUCUGCAAGUCAGAUGUGAAAUCUAUGGGCUCAACCCAUAGCCUGCAUUUGAAACUGCAGAGCUUGAGUGAAGUAGAGGCAGGCGGAAUUCCCCGUGUAGCGGUGAAAUGCGUAGAGAUGGGGAGGAACACCAGUGGCGAAGGCGGCCUGCUGGGCUUUAACUGACGCUGAGGCACGAAAGCGUGGGUAGCAAACAGGAUUAGAUACCCUGGUAGUCCACGCUGUAAACGAUGAUUACUAGGUGUGGGGGGUCUGACCCCUUCCGUGCCGGAGUUAACACAAUAAGUAAUCCACCUGGGGAGUACGGCCGCAAGGUUGAAACUCAAAGGAAUUGACGGGGGCCCGCACAAGCAGUGGAGUAUGUGGUUUAAUUCGAAGCAACGCGAAGAACCUUACCAGGUCUUGACAUCCUACUAACGAGAUAGAGAUAUGUUAGGUGCCCUUCGGGGAAAGUAGAGACAGGUGGUGCAUGGUUGUCGUCAGCUCGUGUCGUGAGAUGUUGGGUUAAGUCCCGCAACGAGCGCAACCCUUGCUAUUAGUUGCUACGCAAGAGCACUCUAAUAGGACUGCCGUUGACAAAACGGAGGAAGGUGGGGACGACGUCAAAUCAUCAUGCCCCUUAUGACCUGGGCUACACACGUACUACAAUGGACAUUAACAGAGGGAAGCAAUACAGUGAUGUGGAGCAAACCCCUAAAAAUGUUCUCAGUUCAGAUUGCAGGCUGCAACCCGCCUCCAUGAAGGCGGAGUCGCUAGUAAUCGCGGAUCAGCAACGCCGCGGUGAAUGCGUUCCCG
rnacentral:rRNA from 1 species